UUCUUGGGUUCUUUAGGCCCAACUAGAUUUUUUUACUCGAAAAAAGGAUCAUGGGCCUACCCAGUUUCUUUUCUAUAUGGUCCUAAUAAAACUAUUCGAACAUUGGGGGGGUGUUUCUUUAGGCCCAACUAGACUUUUUUACUCGAAAAAAGGAUUUUCAAGAUCUAAGAGAUUGAGACGAAAAAUGUUAGAUAGACGGGAUUAGAAAUUUCUUCAUAAGCACUUCGAAGGUAUGUGAAGGGGAUAUUUAAAUGAUUAAAUCCCUAUUCGCAAGGUGUCAUUUGAAAUCUCUCAUGUGCCUUUAUUAGGUUCAUGGAUAUGGAUAACCGUGAAGAUCCAUUUUUAACCUAAUCAGGCUGAUAUGGUAAUAGUACUCUCUGCCCUGAAAUCUCCUCGUUUACUCGUGUAACAUUUUAAUGUUAGAAUAUAAGUAUGAUUGUGAGUGCUGGAAACCGGCUAUAGUGUUUCAAUUGGUAUGGAAAGGUCUUGUUGUAGAGUUUAAAGUUGUCCUAAUCAAUUUGGGAUUGAAACUUUAAUAAAUCAUGAUACUUAACACUCAUAGUUGGAUUGGAAUUGUGUGUUUGUUUCCUAUGCUGAUUUUAAUAGGAAAAUCACAAUGAUUGUUUCAAUAUAAAAUAUUAGCCUCUACUCUCACAAAAAAUACGCUCAAUAUUAAACUAAGACCUAUUGUUAAUUUGAGUACUUUUGGUUUUGCAAGAAAGGAGAAGGUGUAUUGUUUAGAAGUUUGCUUUGGCUUCUUCUUCUACUGCUUCCAUGGAUUAGUUUGUUAUAGUGUUAAUUGAAUUGUGAUUUUAAUACUUAUAUAAAUUGUGGUUCAUGUGCUUAAUCUCUUAAUAUGUUUUUGAUAAGUUUAGUCUUACAUAUAGUAUCAGAGCUUAAGAUUUUUGUUCUUCAAUUCAAAUUGAAAGUAUUAAAUUGAAGCAGUAAUCGACGUGAUGGUUUAGCGGGGAAAUAGACUUUGGUUUUGCAAAAGAAAUUUUUAAAGUUUUAAAGAAAUAAUAGAGAGGAUGUCUUUAUGUAAAAGGUUAGGUAGUGUUGUUUUCAAAAUUAUUUGACCAUUGCAAUUUUGAAAAGGGGGAAAAUUGUGUUCUGUCUAAGCCUUCUUUCUGCAAAAGAUAAAAGGGUUGUUGAGGUUUGUGAAUAUAUGAACACAUACAUGCACUUGUGAAAUUUAUUUUGAUUUAUAUUAAAUUUAGAUUUUAAUUAAACUAAUUAUGAAAUUU
rnacentral:lncRNA from 1 species